rfam:Hepacivirus hominis isolate 1316-1 polyprotein gene, complete cds
CAAAUUGAUCGCUCAGGGGGGAAAAGCUGCAUUAUGCGGCAGGUACCUCUUCAAUUGGGCGGUUAAAACU